AUGUCAAACGGCGAUGAUCGACGCAAAGAUAACCAAAACGAUUGGCAUGCUAAUUUUUUAAUCAGCUGUUUACUAAAAUCAGUUAUAAACUCGAAGAGUACCAUCAUGCCAUGCGGAAAGUUGAAGGUAACUAGCAGUUGGUUAAUUAGUCGUCGGGAAGCCCAUCCCAAUUGCUACAACAUAACACUUUAGUUACCAAUAAACGAUUCCAUCGAAUGAACCUGUCAUAAAAAUUAUCAAAAACGUUCUACACAUUAUCGAUAGAUUGAAGAUUUGUUGAUAAUCGAUUAGUGAUUCUUUUUCUUUUCUUUUGAUAAAGAUCGACUAGUAAUUCUUUAGAAAAAUAUAUUGACAAAUAACUCAUAUUGAUGAACCACUGCUGCUGUCAGAAAAUAUUGUUGGUAAGUCACAUGAUAAUUACUAAUAACAUGUAUCCAUCACCCAUUGGUGAUUACUGCUGAAAUCGUAAACAUGACCAAAUUAAUUAUUAUAUGUGGAUGAGUUCAACUUACUUUUUUGAAUGAUUACGUCUUCAACUUGCUUACUUGAUAUUCUAACCGAUUUACCUCUAGCUUACACAUCAUUCGUUGAUAAUGCAUGUGACGUGAUCUAUAUAAGCUUAGACACAAAUAACAAGAAUUUAUUCAAAUUUGAAUCUAUUAAGAAACCAAUAAUUUCUUCAAACGUUAGAUAUUCGAUCUUGUAAUUUCAAACCAAUGAAGCUUCUAUUUGUUUGUUUGUUUUAAUUAUUGCACCUUCAGCAAUAAUGACCUUAUACCAACUAACCAACCAGAGCCAGAUCAACCAAUUCUAGGACCUAUUAUAAUUUUCCCAAAAUAACAAUAUUUGUGUUUUUUCUUCUGUAAUAGAAUUUUUUCAGAAAAAUGUGAGAAUCCCAUUGUAUUGUUUUAUGUUAAUGUGCUCAACCAACCCCAUAUGUAACCCACUAGAUUAUAAAUCGAUAAUUGAUGUGUCGAAGGAAGGACCGUAGGAAAUAUAGAAGGUUCUUUCUUAUUUGCUCAUAAAUACAGAACAUUUAUACACAAUCGUCAUACGGC
rnacentral:lncRNA from 1 species